GUACACUCCUGCGGGAGGCAGCAGUGGGGAAUAUUGGACAAUGGGCGCAAGCCUGAUCCAGCCAUGCCGCGUGAGUGAUGAAGGCCCUAGGGUUGUAAAGCUCUUUCACCGGUGAAGAUAAUGACGGUAACCGGAGAAGAAGCCCCGGCUAACUUCGUGCCAGCAGCCGCGGUAAUACGAAGGGGGCUAGCGUUGUUCGGAUUUACUGGGCGUAAAGCGCACGUAGGCGGACUAUUAAGUCAGGGGUGAAAUCCCGGGGCUCAACCCCGGAACUGCCUUUGAUACUGGUAGUCUUGAGUUCGAGAGAGGUGAGUGGAAUUCCGAGUGUAGAGGUGAAAUUCGUAGAUAUUCGGAGGAACACCAGUGGCGAAGGCGGCUCACUGGCUCGAUACUGACGCUGAGGUGCGAAAGCGUGGGGAGCAAACAGGAUUAGAUACCCGGGUAGUCCCAUGAU
rnacentral:rRNA from 1 species